rnacentral:rRNA from 1 species
CCCAGACUCCUACGGGAGGCAGCAGUGGGGAAUAUUGCACAAUGGGGGAAACCCUGAUGCAGCGACGCCGCGUGAGUGAAGAAGUAUUUCGGUAUGUAAAGCUCUAUCAGCAGGGAAGAAAAAAGACGGUACCUGACUAAGAAGCCCCGGCUAACUACGUGCCAGCAGCCGCGGUAAUACGUAGGGGGCAAGCGUUAUCCGGAUUUACUGGGUGUAAAGGGAGCGUAGACGGCAAUACAAGUCGGAAGUGAAAUACCCGGGCUCAACCUGGGAACUGCUUUGGAAACUGUAUGGCUGGAGUGCUGGAGAGGUAAGCGGAAUUCCUAGUGUAGCGGUGAAAUGCGUAGAUAUUAGGAGGAACACCAGUGGCGAAGGCGGCUUACUGGACAGUAACUGACGUUGAGGCUCGAAAGCGUGGGGAGCAAACAGGAUUAGAUACCCCCGUAAG